UGUAUUUACGACAGAUGGAGGCAGUGGAUCGGUUUCCACAUCAAGAGUCUUUCUUCAUUAAAAGAGAGUCGGGGAUUUUUUCAGAUAUCAGGAUUGCCUAAAUUUGUAUUUUGUCUUCUGACUUUUUUUUAUGGAUGAAACUAAGCUGAAACCAUCACUUGCAAUCCAAAAAUGUCACAUUAACGUGUGUUAAAAUGAGCUGUAUACAUGUGAAUUUAGCAAUAACUGUCUUGUGAUAGACUGGUAUGCAAUGAUAUUCAUCAGAUUCUACUUAAUUUCAGACUGGUUCAAGGUGCAUACAGCCUCUCACUUUAUUUGUUUAAUCUUUUGAUCACUUGCCAUGCUUGCAGUGUGAUUGCAUCUUUUUUUCUUAUCCCUCUGAGUUAAAAAGACAAAGAUGCUUUCAGGUUACAUACUGGUCCAUGCCAUCAAUGUAUCAGGGAUUUCAUAUUUCGAACGAAAUGUGAGAAUAUGAAUUUCAAAAAUCAAGAAAAAAAAAAAAAGAAUUAUAAAUAAAAACUAUGAACAAAAGACUGCACAAAGGGGUGAUUGGCAAUGAUAUGGGUGGAAAGGGCAAGUCUGAGCAGAGAUGGAAGAGAGACAAAGUAGAUACACAAGUUCAGCAACUCAAAAUAAUACAUCACGUACCUGAGAAGGUAGACUAGAAAAAAAAUGGAAAUCUGAUGAAUGGAUCAAGGUGAAUGUGGUAAAAUGAGGUCAUCCAGCCUCGCAAGAAUCCUUAUCUAUUUAGAAAAAAAAUCUUAUAAUAGUGUACUCUGUGCCUCAUUUGACUUGGAAUAAAUUUGCAUUCACUCUAUCAUCCCCCCCCAAAAAAUGGCUUUAUUUCCCAAAAGACAAUUUUGGAGAUAUGGCUGUAUUGUAUCUUCAUAAAAAGAAGAACUUUUAGUACAACAUAUGGUUACGUUUUGACUAUAGGAGUCAAUCAAACAAUGAUAUUCAUCCGAUUUUACUUAAUUUCAAAACUUUUUUUCCUUAACCAGAAACAGGAGCCUUUGGGCAAUAUUUCUAUAAAGACUGACAAAAAAAUGUUUUUUCAAAGUUAAAGGCCACACUGUGAACAGCUUAUCGAAGAAUUACACUGAGAAACUCC
ensembl:lncRNA